GUAGCUAGGAGGCAUUGCCAUUAUGCAUACAUUGGUGGCCUGCCUCCAUCAAACUAAACCUGAGCAACGGGUUUUAGCGGCUAAUCUUCUCCUUCAAUUGGAUAUGCUGAUAAAAUCAAAAAUUGGGCCAAGAGCUGCUGUUGUUGUGAGCGCGCGACAGGAAAGGAACGACGCCAUAGUUGAGCUAAGAGAAGAACAGGGCAAAAAAUUGGUGAAUGACGCCAUAGUUAUAAAAUAAAGAAUGCAUUCACCUAACCCUUUAAAACAUUUUUAAAAAGAGGCUGCAUGAUAUGAACAAAGGAAUUUGGACACAUUCAUGAAGGUAUACUGGUCUGAUUAUUAAUUUUAUGUUAAAUUUUCUCCACGUACUUGUACAGUCAAGCAAGAUUGAAGUUCCAAUUGGGCCUCUUCCCUGGGCGCCACUCUCCCGCUGCUCCUCCGACCCAAGUGCCGACAAAAUGGAGCUCGCCAAGGCACACUUCAUGGACGAGGAGGACCACCCACGACGAUGAACAUGUGUGACCUCACCCCCGAGCCUGACGAGCUCGACAACGACAACAUCGUCAACCUUGAUCUCGAUGACAAGGUUGAUCCCUAGCUUAGUGCAGACACCGAAGAGCAAGCCCGCCUUCUCCAGAGUUUGCAAAGGAGCUUUACGUUCAGGGCAUGGUUGUUUGCACAGAGUGGCGGACACUACUUUGAUCCUCUGACAGAUAGUUCUUCAUAAUGUGAUAGUGUAUAGGCCUUCUUUCUGGGGACCUACUGCUCAACUACUACACUCCUUGGCUGCUAUCGACCAAAUUUUUUACAAAUCUGUCUACAUGUUUUGUUUCUAUAUAUUUACAAAUAUCCUAUCAAUCCAUUUUUAAAAUGUAUGGGCGCGGCAACGCACGCCUUUCAUGAUCUA